rnacentral:rRNA from 1 species
AAUGAACGCUAGCGGCAUGCUUAACACAUGCAAGUUGAACGAAUCUAAGACAAGCUUGCUUGGAUUAGAUUAGUGGCAAACGGGUGAGUAAUAUGUGGGAAUCUACCUAUCAGUACGGAAUAACUUUUGGAAACAGGAGCUAAUACCGUAUAUUCUCUCCGGAGGAAAGAUUUAUCGCUGAUAGAUGAGCCCGCACCAGAUUAGGUAGUUGGUAGAGUAAGAGCCUACCAAGCCGAUGAUCUGUAGUUGGUCUGAGAGGAUGAUCAACCACACUGGAACUUAGACACGGUCCAGACUCCUACGGGAGGCAGCAGUGAGGAAUAUUGGGCAAUGGGCGAAAGCCUGACCCAGCAAUGCCGCGUGAAUGAUGAAGGCCUUAGGGUUGUAAAGUUCUUUUAGUAGGGAAGAUAAUGACAGUACCUACAGAAAAAGCCCCGGCUAACUCCG